rnacentral:pre_miRNA from 1 species
CCUGGCCCGGCAGUGUUUGGCUCUGUCUGUGUGAACCUCAAGCUCUGCCUGACCAGAGGG